AUGCAAGUCGAGCGGUAACAGAAAGUAGCUUGCUACUUUGCUGACGAGCGGCGGACGGGUGAGUAAUGCUUGGGAACAUGCCUUGAGGUGGGGGACAACAGUUGGAAACGACUGCUAAUACCGCAUAAUGUCUACGGACCAAAGGGGGCUUCGGCUCUCGCCUUUAGAUUGGCCCAAGUGGGAUUAGCUAGUUGGUGAGGUAAUGGCUCACCAAGGCGACGAUCCCUAGCUGGUUUGAGAGGAUGAUCAGCCACACUGGGACUGAGACACGGCCCAGACUCCUACGGGAGGCAGCAGUGGGGAAUAUUGCACAAUGGGCGCAAGCCUGAUGCAGCCAUGCCGCGUGUGUGAAGAAGGCCUUCGGGUUGUAAAGCACUUUCAGUCAGGAGGAAAGCGUGGUGGUUAAUACCCAUCAUG
rnacentral:rRNA from 1 species